GGAUCAGGCUGAUACAACUAGUUUAUGCAGACUGGACUAAGAAGAAGCUUAUGUUGCAAAACUGAGUGUGUUUAUACUGAGCGGAGUCCAUAUUCUGUUUUCUUUCUUUUUUCAGUCCUUCAGUUAGGUCCUGUAUCUUUUUGAUGUCAUCUGUCCUGUGCUGAUAAGCACCUUCUAGACAGGAGCCUAACAUUUAGAAAUAAUUCCUUUUCCUUUCCUAUUCUUUUUGUGGCCUCUGGCCACUAUUAGUUGUUUUUUGUUUUAUUUUUACAGCUUCCCAAUUAUGCCAAGUAUUAUAAGUCCAUUAAAGUACUUAAUUAUUGAUUAAACACUUGAUUAUUGAAGCUAAUAUACAUGCACUUAAAGUUAAGUGUCUAAACUAACACAACACACUAAGAUGGAAAUAUAUGGAUAUAUAGAUGUAUAUACAUAUGUAUGUUAAAAAUUUCCCUCAAGUGCAGUGAAAAGCAGUAUCACUAAUAAUAGACUCACGUCAGCUUUCUGAGCACUCCUUAAGGGGCAAAGGUUUGAGUACCAAUGAGCAACAGGCAGAUAAUCCCUCUAUUUCAUAAACUUUGAGGGUUUACAGGUUCUGGGAGGGUCCCAGUCAGAGGGAGACAACUGGGUCGCAGCCUGCUGUGGUCCAGGAGAGCUCAAAGGGGCUCUCUAUUGGGAUCAUUGUUCAUAGGGUGUUAAGAUGAUUGGCCUGAGUCAUGUAAAUUUUCAUCCUGGUAUCUGGUAUUUGUCAGGAAUGAUUUGCCAUUUCAAAAGAGCUCCUGAUGUGCUAAGGAAGUAUCCAGGCAUUCCUGUUACCUGCAUGGUCCUUCUUUCCUUCGUUGAGGGAUUGGAGUCAAUGGUCAAGGAGUGCCCAGCUAUCCAACUUCAUGCAUUUAUGCAAAGGCUAACAGGAAUUCUUUGGGAAGCAGAUGGGUCCAGGAGAGAGUGGGGGGACACACCACCACAGUUAUCUCCUGCUGUCACUUGAGCUUCUGCAAGCCUCUUGUUCCAGUGCAAGGUGGUCCAGUAGGAUGUCUGAUAUGACCCAGGAAGCUGAUUCCCAGUGAUCUUCCUCAGCAUAAGGAGAGAACAACACACACGUGGCAGGUCCCAACUACAUCAGUUACUGCACAUCCGAAAUGUGUCCAGAUACUAGAAUAAUAUCUGUAAGAUAGCAAAAAAUACCUAAAAUACAAAAAAUACAAGUAAUUUGGCACAUUUGGAAAGCUCUGUCCUACAAUUCUUUCUCCUGCUUCUCUUGUUGCUAAUGAAACAGCUGCUCUUUGGUUUCAGGCUUUAACCUAUAUUUAGAUUCCUUUUAUGCUGUUCGCCCUUUGAAGUGCAUGAACUGCUGUGAAAGAAAGGCAGUGUCAUUGCUGGGAGGCAAGAGGAAGGCCUGUAGGUGAAGUCAUGCCUGGCAGACCUUUAUCCUCAGUGCUGCAGCCAUCACUGCCUUGAGGCAGUAGGAGAGGACUUCUGCUUGUUCUGCAUCUCAGCGCUGCCACACGGCUUCACCACAGUGGAGUCAUGUCCAGACUGUACCUGCUGAAUCCAGCUGAAGACAAGGAGAUCUUGGCACAGCAGGGUUUUGUUUUCUUUCUGUGGGUGAAAAUCUGGUUUGGAUUCUGUACUACAGAGAAGAUCUGGCACCGCGGUGUGUGUCUGUGAGCUGUGACAGCAGCUGCCACUUCAACACAACUUGGUUACUUACAUAUGGGGAGUGUUGUAGUCAAGAGGAAUUAUCCAUAGUCUGUAACAUUCCUGAUGUUCUGUUGGCUUUGUGUAGGUUCCUACACUGUUGAAAGUGCAUUUUAAAUUGAUUUUUUCAGGACCUGUGUGUGUGAAGUAUUACACAGACUGCAAAUGCCUACCAUGAUUUCCCCUGUUUAGAAUAAAAACAUCUAUGA